CUGCUGCUGCUCUUGCUUGUGCCCCUGUGCUGCUGCCUUUCUUCUCCCCUUGCUACUGCUCUUCUUCUCCUACGCCUUGCUGCUGCUCCUUCUUCCCUCGCCUUGCUGCUGCUCCUCCACUUCUCAACUCGAACCAACUGCUCCUCCUCCUUCCCUUGCCUCUUCCCAAAUGCUGCUGCUCCUCUCCUCGCCCCUUUUGCUGCUGCUCUUCUCUGAAACCUCAAAACUGCUGUUGCUCCUCCCUAUUGCUUCACCCCUACUGCUCCUCCUCUCAACGUCUUGCUGCUGCUCUUCUCUGAAACCUCAAAACUGCUGCUUCUUCUCCCUCUCUCUAUUCUCUAAUUUUCUGUAAUCUUGAGUAGUGUAAUGUUCAUUACUUUGAAAUGUUCAGAAUUGAGAUGUGUAGCACUUGUAAGGUUCAGAUUUUGAUAAGUGUUUGCAACCAACUAGUUUGCUCAGUUCGUACUUGUUAAAUAUCAUGUCAUAAAAAUAUGUAAUAUUUUGUUACUUUGGUAAUUAGUGUUCUGUCAGCAUAUAUGUGUGUUCACCCUGUGUAUUUCUUCUCGCUGUACUUGUUAAUUUCUAUCAGUAAUUUUUAGUUGUUAAAUACUGUUGUGUUGAUCUGUGGGUACUAAUCUUGUGGCUUGUAAGAUUUCGUUUCUGUUGUCACUUGUGUAACCUGAACCGUGGUGUAGUAUCCUGUUCGCAUAUGUGUGGUUUGGCGUGUUCUGUAGUCCCCGUAUCAGCUAUGUACCUGUGAUAUAUGAAUGUGCGUGCGUGUGUGUGUUUGAUUAGAAACAAUUAUAUUCUGUCAUAUAUUGUCGCUUCUUCCUACUGUUAUAUGUUUGAUACUAAUGUGUCCUUGUCUUGUAGCUUUACUUGAUAUUGACUCCUGUUUGUGUUAGUAUUUUAAUUCCUCAAAUAAAACAAAAUACCAAAAAGAUAGUGAGUAAUAUCUUAACCUCCCUUUGCUAUUUUGCAUUUUCUUGGUGGAUUAUCUUCGGGUACAAUCAUUGUUAGUUUAGAUUCUUAUUUUCUGCAUUUAUCUCUUAAAAUUGUGCUACCUAGCUUUAGCCGAGCAUAGUCGUCGUCGCCUAGUCCCUGUGGAGAACACGACAUCCGUAGUUUGGGGCGUAAAAACCCCGUUGUACCUACAAUUGACCAUUUUGGCGCCGUUGCCGGGGACUAGUGUCGAGUGACCGUGUUAGGCUAUAGACUAGUUUUUUCUUCUUUUUCUAUUUUGUGCCAUAUAUUUGUGAUAUAUCUCUAACUCCUAACCCUUGUUCCAGAUUAUUUCCUCUUUGUUUUCUUUUCCUUUUUGCAGGUUAGAACCAUCUUCUCGGAUAUGGCUUAGUAUUCAGAUCAUCAUGCUUAUGCGAGCAACACUACAAACAGCACGGAAAGUAUUCAAGAACUGAUAAGUAAGAUUUCCCAUCAAUUAGAUGAUUUAGCUCGGCAGCGAGAAGUAGUUUUUGACGAUAGGCCUAGCUCUUAUGAUCCUUGUUCUAGAGGCCAUCCUUAUGUUGCUCCUACUUGCCAUAUUUGUGGAUUUCAGGGCCAUUCGCUCGCUGAAUGUCAGCGUGGUUACUCUCACACUCCAGAUUGUUUUGGCAUGAGCUUCGCUCAACAGCAUAGCUCAUACCAAAACAAUUACUCAUAUAGGUGGCCUGAAAACCCGAAUAUGUCAUAUAGGAGCAACAACCCUGAGAUCUCACCAUUUGCUUCUAGUAAUCAUAUGCAGGGAUUUAGGUACAAUGAGGAGAGCUACAACUAUGCUCCACAACAGAUUUAUUCAGCUCCUACUCAUAUACCUCAACACCAGGAGAUGUUGCCAAUGGAGUUAAAUGGUCCUCCAUUUGGUCAACCAACAACUCCAGCAACUGCUGAGCAAUCUCAUGUGCAAGUGCCCACACAAGAUGAAUUUGAUGAUAUAGACAAGCUCACAUUGCUUAGUCUCGAGUUCACUUGGAGUGCUGAGGAUGAUCCAAUUAGGCCGAUGAUACUAGAUGAAAUGAAGAAUAUCAAGAGUGGAAAAGAGCUAGUGAAUGAAGUAAGGAAGAUUGAGAAGAACAUCAACGCUGGUAGUACUAUCUCAUCUCUCCUUGAGCUGAGUGCUGCUAAGAUUUCUAGUCAUACAUGUGAGGUUCCAACACCGUCACAUUUAGCUGAGCAAGAUAGCGAGAGCCCAGAUGAAGAGAUACCUCGGAUUGAAGAUGUACUCGAAGCCAAGGCACAAGAUGAUCCAGAGCUCAAAUGCCCAAGUGAUCAAGUCGAAGACUCAUCAUCUACAACUCCUGAAGAAGUAGAAGAAGCUGUUGUAGUUGAAGAUGAAGAACCAGAAAUUCAAUUGCCUAUCAUCAUACAAGAGUGUGACAUUGCAGGUUUAUCUAAUCCUGUCAAUGGCAUGUCCCCAUAUGAAUUGUUUGCUACUACCUUGCAUUGCAUGAUGCCAUCUGUUAAAGUAGAUUUGAAAAAGUAUUUGCUUGGAUAUGAUCAUAUAUACCCUGUUAGUGGCAUUACUCACAUUAGUGAUGAUCACAGUUACUUUCCUCGUGCUAGACCUAUGCUUUAUGAAACAUAUCAUUCCCAUGCUAGUCUUGAGCUUAAUGGUAAAUAUCAUCCUCAUGUUAGUGUUGACCUUGCUGAUUUCUACCAUCCUAAACAUGUGCUUUAUAGCUAUGCUUAUGUAAUUGGAUAUUCGAUUGAUGACUUGGAGGGUAUUAUCCCUACCACUUGCAUUGUCUCUUUUGUUGUGAGUGCUUUUAGGUUUUUGCUUGUGCACGAUCCACUACAUGCUGACCAGGUUCGAGGUGACAUUCCUUGGGACCCUGGUGGACUUAGAGAAUGGGGAUGAGGAGAAGCAAGGGGGCACACACGAGGAAGGGAGAAGCUGGAGCAGGCAUGAGGAUAGAGAAGCAAAAGGAGAGGAGCUGCAGUUGGUGAGGUGAUCGAGCGAGUGCUACAUCAUCAAAGCCCGGUGAGCUGUUUCAUGACCCAUUCCGAGUAUAUCAUCCAUUGAUACAUGCUGAAAUCAAAUGUUAUUUGGUUUGCUUAAGCCAUGUCUUAAAUGUUGCCCCACUGAAUUUUUUUGACAUAUGGUGCUUGAUGAGAAUAUGCGAACUGUUUGUUGAAUGCCAUGUAAACUAGUGAUCUACAUAUUGCUUGCUUUGCUGAAAUUUGUGAAAGUUAUUAGUUUUGAGUGCUCAAAUCCCUAGUACACUAGAAAACUUAAUCAUUUUCUGCUUUUACCUUGAUACACCUAGAUCACCACGUUUAGAUGCUGAAUUUGUGCCAAGUGUCUUCCCAUUGAGAGCAAUCACCUAACCACUAUGGAUUAGCAUGCUAUGUUCCCUGGAUCUGUAGCAUGUGAACCAGACGUGGAGAAGUGAUGAUUCCUGUUUUUGUUCUUAUGCGUUGUUCAUUUAAGAUAAGUAAUAAUGAAUAAAUAAGUCUGGCUACCUACAGUAGCAUGUCAUGUUCCCGGGAUCGGUGGCAUGUGAAAUCAGGUUAGCUUGGGCAGUAAUUAAUAGUAAUAAAAAUGUAAUUGCCGAACCAGGUGUAUACCAUGUGAGGGAGUUCCGGACUAGGGGGUGUCCGGAUAGCCGAACUAUCAUCAUCGGCCGGACUCCAAGACUAUGAAGAUACAAGAUUGAAGACUUCGUCCCGUGUCCGGAUGGGACUUUCCUUGGUGUGGAAGGCAAGCUCGGCGAUACGGAUAUGUAGAUCUCCUACCGUUGUAACCGACUCUGUGUAACCCUAGCCCUCUCCGGUGUCUAUAUAAACCGGAUGGCUGUAGUCCAUAGGACGAACAACAAUCAUACCAUAGGCUAGCUUCUAGGGUUUAGCCUCCUUGAUCUCGUGGUAGAUCCACUCUUGUAAUACACAUCAUCAAUAUUAAUCAAGCAGGACGUAGGGUUUUACCUCCAUCAAGAGGGCCCGAACCUGGGUAAAAACAUCGUGUCCCUCGUCUCCUAUUACCAUCCGCCUAGACGCACAGUUCGGGACCCCCUACCCGAGAUCCGCCGGUUUUGACACCGACAUUGGUGCUUUCAUUGAGAGUUCCUCUGUGUCGUCACCGAUAGGCUCGAUGGCUUCUUCAAUCGUCAUCAAUGACGCAAUCCAGGGUGAGACUUUUCUCCCUGGACAAAUCUUCGUAUUCGGCGGCUUUGCACUGCGGGCCAAUUCGCUUGGCCAUCUGGAGCAGAUCGAAAGCUACGCCCCUGACCGUCAGGUCAGAUUUGGAAGUUUAAACUUCACGGUCGACAUCCGCGAGGACUUGAUCUUCGACGGAUCUGAGCCACAGCCAAGCGUGCCGCACUGUCACGACGAGCAUGAUUUAGUUCUGCAGCCGGACAGUACCCUGGAGGCCGCACUAGAACCCGCUCUGAUCUUCAAUUCGAAGCCGGCUGCGCAGAUUGAGGACGGAUGGCUAGACACCGCCUCGGGGGCUGCAACCUCUACGGCGAUAGAGCCGAACAGUGACCUCGUCCCUCAUAAAGCUUGUGACUCCGAGGCGCCGGACUCCUUGCCGGACUUCGAACCUCCCGCGCCCCCUCCGGUCGAAUCCGAUUGGGCGCCGAUCAUGGAGUUCACCGCAGCGAACAUCUUUCAACACUCACCUUUUGGCGACAUCUUGAGUUCGCUAAAGUAUCUCUCGUUAUUGGGAGAGUCCUGGCCGGACUACGGUUAGGACGGUUGGGAUGCGGACGACGAAGAAAUUCAAAGCCCACCCACCACCCACCUCGUAGCCGCUGUCGACGAUCUAACCGACAUGCUAGACUACGACUCCGAAGACAUCGACGGUAUGGACGAAGAUGUCGGAGACGACCAACAACCAGCGCCUACUGGGCACUGGAAAGCCACCUCAUCAUAUGACAUAUACAUGGUGGAUAUCCCAAAGGAUGGGAAUGGCGAAGAAACAGCGGGGGAUGACCCCUCCAAGAAGCAGCCCAAGCGCCGACGUCAGCGGCGCCGCUCUAAAUCCUGCCAUAGCAAGAAUGAAGACUCCGGCACCGGAGAUAACAAUACACCGAACAGUGCCGAAGAUAACCCACUCCAGCAAGAUGCAGCGCAGGAGGACGGAGACGCCAGCCCCCAUGAGAGAGCGGCAGAAGAAGAGGUAGAGGAUUAUAUGCCUCCCUCCGGAGACGAGGCAAGCCUCGACGACGACGAAUUCGUCGUGCCUGAGGAUCCCGUCGAACAAGAGCGUUUUAAACACAGGCUUAUGGCCACGGCGAACAGCCUCAAGAAAAAGCAGCAACAGCUUAGAGCUGAUCAAGAUCUGCUAGCCGACAGAUGGACUGAAGUCCUCGCGGCCGAAGAGCAUGAGCUCGAACGGCCCUCCAAAAUCUACCCUAAGCGCAAGUUGCUCCCCCGAUUAGAGGAGGAAGCAUAUGAACCCGCAUCACCAGGAGAUAAUACGGCUGACCGACCACCCCGUGGUCGAGACAGAGAGGCCUGUAGGCCCUUCACUAGACCCGUACCCCGGCAUCGCUCGAAAAGCGCAAGGCCACAGGGGAACACUCCGGACUUGCGAGAUAUAUUGGAGGAUAAGGCAAGACAAUCAAGAUCGAUCUAUGGAUCGCGUGGGCGUCCCAUGAUACGUGACGAUAAUCAUCGCGCCGGACACAGUAAGUCCGGCUGGGUCGAACAAAACAGGCAAAGUUCUUCUGAGCUCCGUCGUGAUAUUGCCCAGUACAGAGGCGCCGCACACCCACUAUGCUUCACAGAUGAAGUAAUGGAUCAUCAAAUCCCCAAAGGGUUUAAACCCGUCAAUAUUGAAUCCUACGAUGGCACAACAAACCCCGUAGUUUGGAUUGAAGACUAUCUCCUUCACAUCCACAUGGCCCGCGGUGACGAUCUACACGCCAUCAAAUACCUCCCCCUCAAGCUUAAAGGACUAGCCCGACAUUGGCUCAACAGCUUGCCAGCGGAGUCAAUUGGGAGUUGGGAGGACCUGGAAGCCGCAUUCCUCGAUAACUUCCAGGGCACUUAUGUGCGAUCACCAGACGCUGAUGACCUAAGACACAUAAUUCAGCAGCCAGACGAAUCGGCCAGGCAAUUCUGGACACGGUUCUUAACCAAGAAAAACCAAAUCGUCGACUGUCCGGAUGCGGAGGCCCUCGCGGCCUUCAAGCAUAACAUCCGCGACGAGUGGCUUGCCCGGCACCUGGGACAGGAAAAGCCGAAAUCCAUGGCAGCCCUCACAUCACUCAUGACCCGCUUCUGCGCGGGUGAGGACAACUGGCUAGCACGCAGUAACAACCUCAGCAAAAAUUCUGGCAGUCCAGACUUCAAGGACCGAAAUGGCAGGCCGCGUCGCAACAAAAACAAAUGCCGCAUUAAUGGCGAUCAUACUGAGGAUACGACAGUCAAUGCCGGAUUCAGAGGCUCUAAACCCGGUCAGCGGAAAAAGCCAUUCAAAAGAACUACUCCGGGUCCGUCCAAUUUGGACCGAAUACUCGACCGCUUGUGCCAGAUACAUGGCACCCCCGAAAAGCCAGCUAACCACACCAACAGGGACUAUUGGGUAUUCAAGCAGCCAGGCAAGUUAAUUGCUGAAAAUAAUGACAAGGGGCUACAUAGCGAUGACGAGGACGAGACCCAACCGCCGAACAAUAGAGGACAGAAGAGUUUCCCCCCACAGGUGCGGACGGUGAACAUGAUAUACGCAAUGCACAUACCCAAAAGGGAGCGGAAGCGUGCACUCAGGGAUGUCUACGCGAUGGAGCCAGUUGCCCCGAAGUUCAAUCCAUGGUCCUCCUGCCCGAUCACUUUUGACCGAAGGGACCACCCCACCAGCAUCCGUCACGGUGGAUUCGCCGCACUGGUCUUAGACCCAAUCGUCGAUGGAUUUCACCUAACCAGAGUCCUGAUGGACGGUGGCAGUAGCCUGAACCUGCUCUAUCAGGAUACAGUGCGCAAAAUGGGCAUAGACCCCUCAAGGAUCAAACCUACCAAGACGACCUUUAAAGGCGCCAUACCAGGUGUAGAAGCCAAUUGUACAGGCUUCGUUACACUGGAAGUGGUCUUCGGAUCCCCGGAUAACUUCCGAAGCGAGGAGUUAAUCUUCGACAUAGUCCCGUUCCGCAGCGGCUAUCAUGCUUUGCUCAGACGUACCGCGUUAGCAAAGUUCAACGCGGUGCCGCACUAUGCAUACCUCAAGCUCAAGAUGCCAGGCCCUCGAGGAGUCAUUACGGUCAAUGAAAACACUGAACGUUCUCUCCGAACGGAGGAACACACAGCGGCUCUCGCGACAGAAGUACAAAGCAGCCUCUUAAGGCAAUUCUCGAGUCCGUCCGUUAAACGGCCGGACACAGCUAAGCGCGCCCGGAGUAACCUACAACAAGACCAUCUGGCACAUUCCGAGCACACGUAGCAGUGCGGCCCCAACCCCAGCCCCUGCAAAACGUCAAAGCAAGUCCUUCAUGUACACCAUUACGCUCUGAAGAUACCAUGGGCAUGGGGAGAGGGGCACGACCACGAUAAACCCAGACUGCGGUUUAACCACACCAGGGGCUCUCAAGUGUGUCGUUCUUUUUUUUUACCUUUGAUUUUUUACCCACAGGACUCCAUUCGUCAGAGGCCUUGUCCGGCAGUAGACCUGCCGAACUCACGAUGCAACAGCCAGGGAAGGAUAAAAGCUACAGACGAAAAUACAGGUGGUCUCCAUUACGAGCAUUUUUAUACACCAAUUCGCAGCCUACCCCUGGAGGGGGACAUGUUUAACAGUCCCAUCCUUUGCUUAUCGCACUAUUUUUAUCGUUCUGCAUUCAUAGCAGCACUUAUUGAAUAAAACAAUGCAGUACCUUUUUGCUUAUAAUUGCAUUUUCUUUUUAUACAUAUGUUCAUUUAUGGCAUGUUGCACCCGUACACUUUGGUACGGCCACAAUACACCAGGGGCUUAUGCUUCCCGCAUCAUGGUGUGAUAAGUCCGAACACUUUCACAAGUGCGACACCCCGAACUUAUAGCACUAUAUGCAUCGGCUCCGAAUCAUGUCUUGGGUCAAUAGUUGGGUUUUCCCGGCUCCCAUGUUUUGGUACCUUAUGUUCCGUUAUAUCGGCUAAGGUAGCACUGGGAGAACCACUGCGAUUGCGCCCCAGUUGAGAUGGGUUAACGCCUCAGUGGAGAAAGCUAAAACUGACCGUCAUGAUGAGGCGAGAGCCGGUCGCUGUUUGGAGAGGUUUUUUGCGAGUCCUUAAAGACUUAUGCCGCUUAGAGCGAGGAGCUGGAUCCUGUCCGGCCCAGGCGUGGAUAGCGCCCCAAAUUCGGCCUUCCGAAGACUAGGGGCUUCGCCGAAAUUUAAAAUUAUAGAAUUCUCUGGCUAAGUGAGAGUGUUCAAGCAUUAUAAGUCCGGUUGCCUUGUUCGCUGUGUUGAGCGCCUCCCUCGAUGGACCCAAAAAUGGGAACAAGAGUGCUCAAGUUUAUCCCGAACACCCCACCACUCGUGGCAUGGGGGCUGAAGCCGAUGACUUGCCAUCUCUCAGAUUUGAUAAACAGCCGCACAGAAGGUAAUAUUUUAAAUUAACAAGCGUUGCUUAGUGCAUAUGAACCAAGUUUUCAGCGCACAGGAUAACAAAAUGCGAGUCUACUAAAAAAUUACAUCUUUGGAGCACUCUCCCGCAAUAGUGCGGGCGCCCUUCAGCACGCUCUUAUAAUACAUCUCGGGCGUGCGAUAUUCCUUGCCCUCUGGUGGUGGGUCCGUCACAAGCUUCUGGGCAUCCAUCUUGCCCCAGUGCACCUUUGCGCGGGCAAGGGCCCGAUGGGCACCCUCAAUACAGGCGGAGUGCUUGAUGACUUCAACCCAUGGGCACGCAUCCACCAGCCGCCGCACCAGGCCGAAGUAGCUCCCAGGCAUGGCCUCCUUAGGCCACAGCCGAACUAUGAGGCCUCUCAUGGCCUGUUCGGCCGCCUUGUGAAGCUCGACCAGCUGCUUCAGCUGGUCGCUAAGGGGCGCCGGAUGUUCGGCCUCAGCAUACUGAGACCAUAAGACCUUCUCCGUCGAGCUCCCCUCCUCGGCCCGGUAGAAUGCGGCAGCGUCGUACACGCUGCGAGGAAGAUCUGCGAACGCUCCUGGAGAGCUCCGAAUUCGGGUAAGCAACAGGUAAUUAACACUCACAUGCUUACUUUGCAUGAAAAAUGCCUUACCCGCUGCUAUUUUCUUCACCGCCUCAAUCUCCUGGAGGGCCUUGUAGGCUUCGGCCUUAGCGGCUUUGGCACUCUCACGAGCCGUUGCAAGCUCAGACUCUCGAGUCUUCGAGUCACGCUCCAAGCUCUCAUGUUUUUUCAUGAGAUCCUGGAGCUCUUGCUGUACCUCCGCCACCCGCGCCUCCUGCCUCUUUCGCUCGGUCCGCUCCGCGGCCGCAUUGCAUUCGGCCGCGGCCACUGCCUCCUUCAGGGUCGCCACCUCGUUUGUGACCCCUGCAAUACCCAAGUUAUCCUUGUCAUUUUUUGCAACCAAAUCCUUUUCUGUAAGGUACAAUUUUCAUAAGGUAUUACUAACCUUCUUUUUCCUCGAGCUGCUUCUUGGCACGGCCGAGCUCGUUCUCGGACCGCUCGAGGUUUUCCUUCAAAAUAUUGACCUCCGCAGUCAGUGCGGCAGAGGUCAGCAGCACAGCCUGCAAUCCCAUAUUGACAUAUUUUCAUGACUCCUGCGUUUAUCUUUCUAUAGAUCCUCAGUCCGGCUUUUCUUUCCGAACACCAAACCGAGCAUCAGGGGCUACUGUCUAUGCGGUACUAUUUUACAUAUAUUGAAAUUCUUACCUCAAAGCCUGAUAGAAGGCUGCUGCAGGCUUCGGUCAGCCCGCUCUUGGCAAGCUGCACCUUCUGAAUCACCGCACUCAUAACAGUGCGGUGGUCCUCUUUGAUGGAGGCGCCGUUAAGCGCCUCCAGCAAAUUGUCCGGCGCCUCCGGUUGGACGGAGGUUGCCGGCGUCACGGUCUUGCCCUUCUUACGAAGGGGUCGCCCUCCGGACUCCGGAGCCAUUGUGGCCUUCGGGGCUGAGUCCGGUGCAAAGUCCGGGAGGUUGUCCUGCGACACCUCCAGGGACUCCUCCUCCUGGUAGGUCCCUUCCUGGGACCCCACCUCGGCGUCGUCCGCGGCACGGGGGGUAGAGGCAGUCGGAAGAGAAUCCAUAUCCGACGCACCUAAGGACCCGCUCGAUGAAGCGGGAAGAUCAUCCUUAGGCGGACUACAGGGUUGUAUGCGGCAUUAGAAAGACAUUAUGUGAUGAAAAAUAUAAACCUUGAAGUUAUUCGGGAGUCCGGAUACUUACGAUCUCGCCUGAGGCUUGGCCCUUGGAGGCCAGUCCUUGUCGUCAUCACUGGCGUUGGCGGAACAGUCCGGGGGAAGAGUUUUUCCCUUCUUGGACCCUUCGGCCUCCCUUGUAGGAGAGGCCUUCCUUUUCUUCCCUCCCCCCGCUGGGGGAGAGGCUUUCUUCUUCUCCUCCUCGCCUUGGUGGGAGGAGUCGGCCUCGGAUUCAUCAUCCGAUAGCACCUGAAAACGGGAACUCUUCCGAGUCCCCGUGGCCUUCUUCUUGGCCUUCUUCUCCGGCACCACGUGGGGUGUCGGAGCCAGCAGCCCCAUUAGGCGGGCGUCAGCUGGGUCCUUUGGCAAUGGGGCCGGACAAAUAGCCUGUGCGGCCUUCUUCAGCCAGUCCUGUCAAAGGAAAGGGAGUUUAGAUCCCGCAUAGAGUCAAACUAUGGAAAACAAGCGUCCCUUAAAGGACAGAAUAACUUACUUCAUCAGCUGGACGCUCCAAGCUGAAUCCGCGAUCUUCGGUAGCGGAUGCGGGAGCCUCGGCGCCCUUGAACAGCACCUUCCAGACCUCUUCGUACGUAGUGCCGAAGAGCCCAUUCAGAGUCUGGUGCUGCGCCGGAUCAAACUCCCACAUAUUGAAGCCCCGUCAUUGGCACGGGAGAAUCUGGCGGAUGAGCAUGACCUGGACUACGUUGACGAGCUUGAGCUUCUUGUCCACCAGCUUUUGGACGCAGGCUUGGAGUCCGGUCAGCUCCUCCGAAUCGCCCCAAAUUCGGCCGCUCUCUUUCCAAGAGGUGAGCCGUGUGGGGAUGCCGGAUCUGAAUUCGAGGGCCGCUGCCCAUUCAGGGUCACACGGCUCGGUGAUGUAGAACCACCCCGAUUGCUACCCCUUGAUGGUUUCCACAAAAGUGCCCUCCAGCCACGUAACCUGGGACAUCCUACCCACCAUGGCGCCUCCGCACUCCGCUUGGCUGCCCUUCACAACCUUCGGCUUGACACUGAAGGUCUUGAGCCACAAGCCGAAGUGGGGCUGGAUGCAGAGGAAAGCCUCGCACACGACGAUAAACGCCGAGAUGUUGAGGAUAAAAUUUGGGGCCAGAUCAUGGAAAUCUAGGCCAUAGUAGAACAUGAGCCCCCGGACAAAAGGAUGAAGUGGGAAGCCUAGUACGCGGAGGAAAUGGGGAAGAAACACUACCCUCUCAUGGGGCCUGGGGGUGGGGAUGAGCUCUCCCUCGUCGGGGAGCCGAUGCGCGAUGUCGCUGGACAAGUAUCCGGCGCUGCGCAGCUUCUGGAUAUGCCCCUCCGUGACGGAGGAGGCCAUCCACUUGCCUCCCGCUCCAGACAUAUUUGGAGAAGGUUGAGGUGAGAUGUGCGGGCUUGGACGCUAGAGCUCGAGUUCGCGGAGAUGGAUAAGCUAAGGAGGAAGAAGGUGCAGGUAAAAGGGUUGGAUCUUUAUCCCCUUAUAUGGGCGGACGAAAACAUGUGUCCCCACCGGCCUGGUAAAACUCGCUUAUCUCCCAAGCGUCACAAUCAAUGGCGCCAUUGGGUUACCCACGUCCGUAUUAAUGGGAAUCCCGGAAUAAGGGGAACACGAUCUCUGCUUCGACAAGACGUGCCAAGGAAACCGCCUCGCUAAACGCGCUGAGGUGGAACAAUAAAAACAAUUCGAGUAAAGGCUUGGAAGUGGUGUGACGUCACGCCACAGAAUACGUCGGCAGAUUGAUCUUGUGUAAUAUUAUUCUCUCUACGGUGGUAUGUGGAAUUUAUUUUUGCAGAGCCGGACACUAUCCUGGUGUUCACAAUCUUCUAUAAAUUAUUCGGAGGAGGAACCCGCCUUGCAAUGCCAAAGACAAUAUGCGCGCCGGACUCGUCGUCAUUGAAGCCUGGUUCAGGGGCUACUGAGGGAGUUCCGGACUAGGGGGUGUCCGGAUAGCCGAACUAUCAUCAUCGGCCGGACUCCAAGACUAUGAAGAUACAAGAUUGAAGACUUCGUCCUGUGUCCGGAUGGGACUUUCCUUGGCGUGGAAGGCAAGCUUGGCGAUACGGAUAUGUAGAUCUCCUACCUUUGUAACCGACUCUGUGUAACCCUAGCCCUCUCCGGUGUCUAUAUAAACCGGAUGGCUGUAGUCCAUAGGACGAACAACAAUCAUACCAUAGGCUAGCUUCUAGGGUUUAGCCUCCUUGAUCUCGUGGUAGAUCCAGUCUUGUAAUACACAUCAUCAAUAUUAAUCAAGCAGGACGUAGGGUUUUACCUCCAUCAAGAGGGCCUGAACCUGGGUAAAAACAUCGUGUCCCUUGUCUCCUGUUACCAUCCGCCUAGACGCACAGUUCGGGACCCCCUACCCGAGAUCCGCCGGUUUUGACACCGACACCAUGUUCUCGGGAUCGGUGGUAUGUUCCUUUGGGGAGACAAACAAUUUUUUUUAAUAAAAAUUGGUUGAGCCAGGUGUAUACCAUGUUCUCGGGAUCGGUGGUAUGUUCCUUCGGUGAGACUAAUGAAAUAAUAUGUGUGUUUCUUUCAAAUUCAAUAAGUGGUUCAACCACAAAGUCAUAUUUCUGCAAAUAAGAGAUUUAAUUCCAGUUCUUUUUGUUCUCAGGAUCAUGCUCUCUUUAGGAAUCAUUUGGCGUAGUCAUCAUUUAAACUUGUUGAUCCUCUUUUAUCAUUGUAAAAGUUUAAAAUGGUCAUGCUUACUAGUAUCUUACCGCUUUGAAGCACUCCUAACCAUUAAUUUUCACUAGCUAAGUCCAAAGCAUGCACUGUUUAGACAUCUACUUCACUUGGUAUUCUCUAGUCAGCUCACUGUUCACAUUCUUGCUCUUGUCAUAUACCUUUGCUUGAGGACAAGCAAAAGUUUAAGUGUGCGGGAACUUGAUAAGCACAUUUCAUAUAUAUAAUUUUGGCACAUAAACACACCAUUUAUUGUGAUCCGACGAUCCAUUCUUGCUGUGAACUAUGAUAUAUUUGAAUGAAAAUCAUAUAAAAGAUCAUUUACUCAUCAUUUGAUUAUUUUGCAGAAAAGUGCGCAAAGGCACUAUAAUCUUCAAGAUUCGGACGAAUUGGCCAUUGAGAAGAGAGAAGGGCAGGAAAGAAGUGAAGAAAGGGACCUGAGCAUGAAGGAAAGAAGAAACCGGGGGCCAAAACUAAAGAAGGAAGGGCUCUACUUGGGAAGAAAGAAGAAAGGAGAAGGGCCAAAGUAAAAAAAAAGACAGAUCAGGGAGGGGGUCAAAAUCCCUAGCGCUGCUCCAUUCCCAAAUUGGGCCUGGCCACAUCUUCAUCUCUCUUCCCCUCACCAGUCCUUCUUCACCUCCGGCCGCCGCCACGGCCAGGCCGGCGUGGUGGUGCGCCUCCGCAGCCCAUCCACCCACCAGCGCCAUCCAUCACCAGCACCAACACCCAGCGCCACCCAACACCUCCACACGCUCCACACCGCCACCAUCCAUCACCACCACUCCCCGCUUCACCGCGCCAUCAUCACCCCCUCCCCACUGAACACCUCCGUGCGAGAGUUUCCCUGCUGCCGUCCUUCUUUCCUUGCCUCUGUUGCUGCUCUUGCUUGCACCCCUGUGCUGCUGCCUUUCUUCUCCCCUUGCUACUGCUCUUCUUGUCCUACGCCUUGCUGCUCCUCCUUCUUCCCUCGCCUUGCUGCUGCUCCUCCACUUCUCAACUCGAACCAGCUCCUCCUCCUCCUUCCCUUGCCUCUUCCCAACUGCUGCUGCUCCUCUCCUCACCCCUUUUGCUGCUACUCUUCUCUGAAAUCUCAAAACUGCUGCUGCUCCUCCCUAUUGCUUCACCCCUACUGCUCCUCCUCUCAACGUCUUGCUGCUGCUCUUCUCUGAAACCUCAAAACUGCUGCUUCUUCUCCCUCUCUCUAUUCUCUAAUUUUCUGUAAUCUUGAGUAGUGUAAUGUUCAUUACUUUGAAAUGUUCAGAAUUGAGAUGUGUAGCACUUGUAAGGUUCAGAUUUUGAUAAGUGUUUGCAACCAACUAGUUUGUUCAGUUUGUACUUGUUAAAUAUCAUGUCAUAAAAAUAUGUAAUAUUUUGUUACUUUGGUAAUUAGUGUUUUGUCAGCAUAUAUGUGUGUUCACCCUGUGUAUUUCUUCUCGCUGUACUAGUUAAUUUCUAUCAGUAAUUUUUAGUUGUUAAAUACUGUUGUGUUGAUCUGUGGGUACUAAUCUUGUGGCUUGUAAGAUUUCGUUUCUGUUGUCACUUGUGUAACCUGAACCGUGGUGUAGUAUGCUGUUCGCAUAUGUGUGGUUUUGUGUGUUCUGUAGUCCCCGUAUCAGCUAUGUACCUGUGAUAUAUGAAUGUGCGUGUGUGUGUGUGUGUUUGAUUAGAAACAAUUAUAUUCUGUCAUAUAUUGUCGCUUCUUCCUACUGUUAUAUGUUUGAUACUAAUGUGUCCUUGUCUUGUAGCUUUACUUGAUAUUGACUCCUGUUUGUGUUAGUAUUUUAAUUCCUCAAAUAAAACAAAAUACCAAAAAGAUAGUGAGUAAUAUCUUAACCUCCCUUUGCUAUUUUGCAUUUUCUUGGUGGAUUAUCUUCGGG
rnacentral:lncRNA from 1 species